rnacentral:rRNA from 1 species
UACGAAGGGGGCUAGCGUUGUUCGGAAUUACUGGGCGUAAAGCGCGUGUAGGCGGGUCUUUAAGUCAGGGGUGAAAUCCCGGAGCUCAACUCCGGAACUGCCUUUGAUACUGGCAAGCUAGAGUCCGGAAGAGGUAAGUGGAACUCCUAGUGUAGAGGUGGAAUUCGUAGAUAUUAGGAAGAACACCAGUGGCGAAAGGCGGCUCACUGGUCCGGGUACUACGCU